ACGCUCGACACCUACGGGGCAGCAGUAGGGAAUCUUCCACAAUGGGCGCAAGCCUGAUGGAGCAACACCGCGUGAGUGAAGAAGGGUUUCGGCUCGUAAAGCUCUGUUGUUGGAGAAGAACGUGCGUGAGAGUAACUGUUCACGCAGUGACGGUACCUGACUAAGAAGCACCGGCUAAAUACGUGUCAGCAGCCGCGGUAAUCUGAGCGGGCUGGCAAGGC
rnacentral:rRNA from 1 species